GAUGAACGCUGGCGGCGUGCCUAAUACAUGCAAGUCGAGCGAACCACUUCGGUGGUGAGCGGCGAACGGGUGAGUAACACGUAGGUUAUCUGCCCAUCAGACGGGGACAACGAUUGGAAACGAUCGCUAAUACCGGACAGGACGAAAGUUUAAAGGUGCUUCGGCACAACUGAUGGAUGAGCCUGCGGCGCAUGAGCUAGUUGGUAGGGUAAAGGCCUACCAAGGCGGCGAUGCGUAGCCAACCUGAGAGGGUGAACGGCCACACUGGGACUGAGACACGGCCCAGACUCCUACGGGAGGCAGCAGUAGGGAAUCUUCGGCAAUGGGCGAAAGCCUGACCGAGCAACGCCGCGUGAAUGAUGAAGGCCUUCGGGUUGUAAAAUUCUGUUAUAAGGGAAGAAUGGCUCUAGUAGGAAAUGGCUAGAGUGUGACGGUACCUUAUGAGAAAGCCACGGCUAACUACGUGCCAGCCGCCGCAGUAAGAC
rnacentral:rRNA from 1 species